UACGGAGGGAGCUAGCGUUGUUCGGAAUUACUGGGCGUAAAGCGCACGUAGGCGGCUUUGUAAGUUAGAGGUGAAAGCCUGGGGCUCAACCCCAGAAUUGCCUUUAAGACUGCAUCGCUAGAAUUGUGGAGAGGUAAGUGGAAUUCCGAGUGUAGAGGUGAAAUUCGUAGAUAUUCGGAAGAACACCAGUGGCGAAGGCGACUUACUGGACACAUAUUGACGCUGAGGUGCGAAAGCGUGGGGAGCAAACAGG
rnacentral:rRNA from 1 species